rnacentral:rRNA from 1 species
CUUGGUCAUUUAGAGGAAGUAAAAGUCGUAACAAGGUUUCCGUAGGUGAACCUGCGGAAGGAUCAUUAUCGUACAACUGAGGUGCAAGGGCUGUCGCUGACCUUCAAGGGUCGUGCACGCCCAAGCUCUCUCACACAUCCAUCUUACCCCUUUGUGCAUCACCGCGUGGGCCCCCCUUUGCAGGAGGGCUUGCGUUUUCACAUAAAACUUGAUACAGUGUAGAAUGUUUUUUCUUUUGCGGUCACACGCAAUCAAUACAACUUUCAACAACGGAUCUCUUGGCUCUCGCAUCGAUGAAGAACGCAGCGAAAUGCGAUACGUAAUGUGAAUUGCAGAAUUCAGUGAAUCAUCGAAUCUUUGAACGCACUUUGCGCCCCUUGGCAUUCCGAGGGGCACACCCGUUUGAGUGUCGUGAAAUCAUCAAAACCUUCUCUUUGACCCUCUUUGGUUGGGAAAAGGAUUUUUGGACUUGGAGGUUCCAUGCUCGCCUUCACUUUUGAAAGCGAGCUCCUCUCAAAUGAAUUAGUGGGGUCCGCUUUGCUGGUCCUUGACGUGAUAAGAUGUUUCUACGUUUUGGAUUUAGCACUGUCCCUUGGAUGCCUGCUCCUAACUGUCUCACGGACAAUGAUGGUGCUCUGGUCACUGCCAUCUACAUUGGCGGGAGGCUGGACCCACAAAAGAAAACCUUGACCUCAAAUCGGGUGAGACUACCCGCUGAACUUAAGCAUAUCAAUAAGCGGAGGA